GGGGGCCGAAGUGCUGCCGCGGGUCCCUGCCGAGGGGCGGCGGCGGCCGCUCCCUGAGUAAACGUUGUCGCUACCGGCUUUCGCCGCCAGGUGUGCGUCGGGUUUUUGUCGCAAAACUGAAGUUAUCAACUGUUAAGGUGCGUUCGAGGUGCAGCUAUAAUGUCAUUAGCAGUCUCUUUAUUCACUUCUGUUCCCUGUUUAUCCCCUGAAGUAUUCCCUACUUCAUACCACAGUAAAGUGCGUUCAUCAGUAAAGCGCUGAUUUAAGGAGCAGAGGAAGAAAAUGGCCUGUUUGUGCUUGCUUUCAGAGGGAAGACCGUUGUGAUACAUCGUGUAAAUGGGAAAUAACUGUAACUUGUGCCGAUAUGGAUGCUUACUGCUAAACAAAAUGAGAUUUUUACAAGACAAGAAAGAGAAGGGAACGUGGUUAGAAAAUCAACUGGAAGAAAUGUGGGAAAGAAGCGUAGAGAAAUAAAUGUCUGCUAAAUAGCAGAGGAGGCCUUGAGAAGUGGAGCCACAGGAUGCAGCGUACAAGCAUGAGAUGGUAAGAGAUGGGGCACAGGUUUGGCGUUGGAGACACACAGCUAAAAACAACUCACCAAUGAUCAGUUAAAGAAAUGCAGAGCUGGACAUAACUGGUUUUAGAGGUAACAAAGAAAUAGUAUCUAGCAUAUGUAAAAGAUGCUGUAUAUAGUAAAUUCAGAUGUAAUGUGGAGCUGCAAAGUUUAAAAGCAGAGCAGCAAAGUUUAAAGCAUUAGAAAACAUAAGAAUAGUCCUGAGUAGAUCAAAGGUAGGUAAGAAAAGAAGGAAGGAUGAAUGAGGAGGAAGAGAAAGAAACCAUCAGCAUAAUACUCCUCCUCAUGAAGUACUGCAGGUGCUGACAAUUCAUCAUAACACCCUUCCUCGCACCAGAAUGAAACCACCGAUCUUAGGGCUCAGAGGAACAGGGGCAAAGGGUGAACGUAACAUCAGGAAAGGGAGUAGAAACUGCAAAUUGUGUGCAACAAUUUUAAAUGUAUUAUUAUUGAAAUUUCUGCAUAGACAUAUUCUUUCUUUUUCUGUAAUGAUUAAAUCUGGACUAUAAUGAUUCUUGGAUUAGACUGUUAGGAUUUCAGUUAUACUAACAAUAAAUUCUUGGCUUAUAUAUAAGGUGCGUUUCCUCUUUGCCCAUAAACAAAAUUUUGCUUGUCAUUAAAUUUAGUCCAGUCUGUAUUCUUCUUUAAACAUACUGAGGCUAAAUGCACCUCUGCAUAUAGCGCCAUUAAGGUACUUGUUUGAAAACAGUGGAGAAAAUGUGCAGCAAAAUGGAAUGUGGCUAUCCAAGGCUGCCUUCCUGUGCUCCAGCACACUCAGGAAGGGUGUAAUAGUCCUGUGCGUAAGCUGCUGUCAUUUCUCAAUAUGGAAAUUGUUUGCACAUUCCAUUUCUGUAUGCAGUAUGAAAUAAGUUUCAGUAACUCAAGCACUAUUGAAACUCAGACUUGUCUGUAAUGUCAGAUUGAAUGGUGAAGUACAACCAGAAACUAUAUACCAGUAACAAAGAGGGCAUUUGUUAAGGUCAGCGCAGUCAUUAAUCAGUGAGUCAAUAGACUGAGAAGAGGGACAAAGAUGGAAAAUUAAUUUCUGUAGACAGAAUACUCACUAUAUAAUUUUCAAAUGCAAGUAUAAAAUUUGCAGGUGAGCACAUAAAUACUGUUGCCCAAAGUGUAUGGCAAAAACACAGUAAAGCAUUCUAGCAGCUAUCACAUUCCAAAUCCAGCUCUGCAUCCCUCUGUUUUGAAAGGGAUCCAGCCCAUAGAGAAUGGGAAUAGCAGUGGCUGGUGCUGUGGUUCUGACUGAAUGGAACGGUUCUCCUCAUCUUCCUUUCUAGGGCUGAUGCUAUAGGACUUCAGAGGAUCUGGAUCCAAGUCUGUGAACAAAACAAAUCUUUGUCAAGCAUCUUAGUCUUCGAAUACUGCACAUGGCACCUGCACAGCAGUGCUCUGAAUUAAUAGAAAACAUGAUGGUUUAUGGUAGGCUCUGGAAGUGGCAGGGAAUUCAGCUGUUGAAAGGAAUUUGGACUGCUGCUUUGUCUAUGGAAAAGCAGCAAAUAGCCCCUGAACUUUAUGGCCAUCCUCUAUGCUGCACAGACAUCCAAACUUCAGUUCUGUUGGGGCUGUCGACUUUAACGUAAGUGGGCUCCAUCAUACAGGGUAUUGUCCGUUUGGGGAAUGGGGAAGGAUAUGAUUCCACUAUGAAGCAGUAUCUUCCUGUUUCUUUUUUUUUUUAAAAAGUUCCUAAGUGAUGUAUCACACUGUUCUGUUUAGGUACCCACCGUGAUUUGAAGGCAAUUUGUAAUCCAAAAGCAAUGCAGUUUUGUCAUUCUGUAUAUUCCUAUGAAAUUACAUGUGUGUACAAAUGAAAGUAAAAGCAGUUCUUGCUUUCAGUUUACUUUUGCAUUCAUGGCUUUCAAGAAUAGAAAAGCAUUACAGGAUACUCCCCUGACUCUUUCCAGCUAAUUCACGAAGAACCAGAUUUCCUUUUUUUGUCUUACCGGAAGAAUUAGGAAAUGUAGACUUAGCUCCUUCUGUUAGAAUUUCCGAUGGUCUGGGAGAAAUAGGGAUUUCGUUAUUAAUGUUUCCGUACCUUAAGGGUCUCUAAUUCUGUGACCAAAAUGUGAAAUACGAUGUCAUCCCUCCGA